GAUGAGAACGUAGCGAAAUGCGAUAACUAAUGUGAAUUGCAGAAUUCAGUGAAUCAUCGAGUCUUUGAACGCACAUUGCGCCCUCUGGUAUUCCGGAGGGCAUGCCUGUCCGAGCGUCAUUGCUGCCCUCCAGCCCGGCUGGUGUGUUGGGCCCCGUCCCCCUUCCCGGGGGGACGGGCCCGAAAGGCAGCGGCGGCACCGCGUCCGGUCCUCGAGCGUAUGGGGCUUUGUCACCCGCUCUUGUAGGCCCGGCCGGCGCCAGCCGACCCCCUCAAUCUAUUUUUCAGGUUGACCUCGGAUCAGGUAGGGAUACCCGCUGAACUUAAGCAUAUCAAUAAGCGGAGGA
rnacentral:misc_RNA from 1 species